rnacentral:rRNA from 1 species
UACGGGGGGGGCGAGCGUUGUUCGGAAUUACUGGGCGUAAAGGGCUCGUAGGCGGCCAACUAAGUCAGACGUGAAAUCCCUCGGCUUAACCGGGGAACUGCGUCUGAUACUGGAUGGCUUGAGGUUGGGAGAGGGAUGCGGAAUUCCAGGUGUAGCGGUGAAAUGCGUAGAUAUCUGGAGGAACACCGGUGGCGAAGGCGGCAUCCUGGACCAAUUCUGACGCUGAGUGAGCGAAAGCCAGGGGAGCAAACGGG